AACGAACGCUGGCGGCAUGCCUAACACAUGCAAGUCGAACGAAGCCUUCGGGCUCAGUGGCGCACGGGUGCGUAACGCGUGGGAAUCUGCCCUUUGGUUCGGAAUAACAGUUGGAAACGACUGCUAAUACCGGAUGAUGACGAAAGUCCAAAGUUUUAUCGCCAGAGGAUGAGCCCGCGUAGGAUUAGCUAGUUGGUGUGGUAAAGGCGCACCAAGGCGACGAUCCUUAGCUGGUCUGAGAGGAUGAUCAGCCACGCUGGGACUGAGACACGGCCCAGACUCCUACGGGAGGCAGCAGUGGGGAAUAUUGGACAAUGGGCGAAAGCCUGAUCCAGCAAUGCCGCGUGAGUGAUGAAGGCCCUAGGGUUGUAAAGCUCUUUUACCCGGGAUGAUAAUGACAGUACCGGGAGAAUAAGCCCCGGCUAACUCCGUGCCAGCAGCCGCCGUAA
rnacentral:rRNA from 1 species